UAAUACGUAGGUGGCAAGCGUUAUCCGGAAUAAUUGGGCGUAAAGAGUGAGCAGGCGGAAGACUAAGUCUUUAGUGAAAAGCAGUGGCUUAACCAUUGUCAGCUAAAGAAACUGGUCAACUAGAGUGAGGUAGAGGUUAGUGGAAUUCCAUGUGUAGCGGUGAAAUGCGUAGAUAUAUGGAGGAACACCAGUGGCGAAGGCGACUAACUGGACCUUAACUGACGCUGAGUCACGAAAGCGUGGGGAGCAAAUAGGAUUAGAUACCCUAGUAGUCCACGCUGUAAACUUUGAGAACUAAGUGUCGGCGCAAGUCGGUGCUGAAAUUAACAUAUUAAGUUCUCCGCCUGGGGAGUACGUUCGCAAGAAUG
rnacentral:rRNA from 1 species